rnacentral:rRNA from 1 species
UACGAGUACCCCAAGCGUUAUCCGGAAUCAUUGGGCGUAAAGGGUGUGUAGGUGGUUUGGUUAGUCUUCUGUUAAAACCUCGGGCUCAACCCGAGGCUUGCAGUGGAAACGGCCAAACUUGAGGAUGCGAGAGGUGAAUGGAACUCAUGGAGUAGGGGUGAAAUCCGUUGAUAUCAUGGGGAACACCAAAAGCGAAGGCAAUUCACUGGCGCAUUCCUGACACUGAGACACGAAAGCGUGGGUAGCGAACGGG